ACAAAUUUACAGUUAAUUUUCACUCUCUCGUCUCUUUCUCCUUCUCACGAUUUCUUCACCUAUUCGACGAUUCCCUCCGUUCUCCAUCGACCGCCUCCAUACAAACGACCACCUCCCUCCGCCCUCUGCCCUCCAACCCCUACCUCUGUUAACGACCACCACCUACAUCAGCCAUCUCCCUUGGCCGUUAUCAAAAACAAAGAAGAAGCUGAGAGUUCAAGCCCUAAUUGAUCAGUUAGGGCUUCGAAAGACCGCCAAAACAAUCAUCAGUGACGACUGACGAAGGGCAUAGAGGAGUCCCGGGCGGAGAAUGACGUCGUGGCUCGCCGACAAAUCUCCUUUCCUUCUUCGCCGAUUUUGGCAUUCCAAUUCCGGAGAAAGAAAAGUGUACCGAAUUUUUCCUCGAUUUGAUCAGAGACAUGGAAGGUUCUUUAGGAGGAACUAAAAGCCUCGUCAAUUUCAUCAACAAUCACCACAGAUUUCAAUCGUAUGCACAAAAUUGAGGUUAAUCUUUCCUAUCGGCAUUAUAACCCACCGUAUUGUUCCUCAUGAUGUCUUGUUGCGUAGUUUAAUUGAGUCGCCACAUAUUUCACUUACGGCUUAUCGUUUCAUCAAAUAGAUAGGAGAUCGAUUGAGAGGAGAAACCUCAAUUUUGAAGGUUUGCGCUUCUAUUCAUCCAAUCCUCAUUUGCCUCUGUCACUACAGUGACACCGAUGCUUUCUUCUCCGAUGCUUUCUUGUUCACCAUUGGGGAUAUUAGGAGCGAUUGAAAUUACACGCAAUGCUAGUCAUGUAUAAAAGUUGCAUUGGACUUUGUUUCUCCUGAAAAUGUUGGUGAAUGCAUCCUGUUGACAGAAGAUUUUCGUGUUCUUCCCCAAAAUCAUAGGGCAAAAGAAGAUAAGUUAGAGGGAAACAAUCACAUCUUUUAUGCGUACAAGGAUCUUAAAAAUGAGAGCGGUGUGAAAAGGGUUGAAGGAGUGGUCAUCAUAUAAAUCUUAUCAGAAAUGAAGGCGGAGUGAAUGGCAGCGAUAGUUGCAAAAGGGGGGACCAUGUAAAACCUAUGAGGAUAUUACACUAUUAACAAAUGGGCUCAUUCAGCUUGCUUAUCAGAAUCCUCUUUUGUGGAAAUUAGCUUAGUGGGGGCUCAAUUGAAUGCCUUGUGGAAAAGGGUAAUCAAUACAUGAGACUGAAAUUAAUUGAGCAAGAUAUUAUUUUGCUAGUUGAUCCUGACAUGCAAAACAUCAAAUCAAUUAGCUUCACAAUCUCUGGAAAACCACGUGUUAUGGUAGAGUACAAGGGUUGCACCAAGCAGUACAACAGCUUCAAGCAUGACAUUCGUCAUUUUCUUCACAUUGAAUGGAUUUAGGUAUUUGAUGAUAGAGUAAAUGGAGUUGGUUGAUACGGAUGAGAUGUCUCUAUUCGUAUUAAAUGCGAGAUAAGAAGUUGCAGAAUAUCAUAUAGUAAGAGGAAGAACGAUUGAUUGCGAUGAAUUUACCUGAAAAGGUUUCUUCAGCAUUCCCUGUCCGACCUCCAUUGUUGUUACCAGAUGCCCUCUAACGGAAAUUUCUUUAUGCAAUUUCCACUUCCGAUAUGCUGGUAGUUUGUGUUUUGUAAAACCUUAUCAUAGUUCAUAGAAAUAGUUUUUUUUUUUAAAACCUUAUCAUAGUUCAUACAAAUAGUUUUUUUUUAACCCGCAAAUAUAAUCUACUCCUAAGCUAACAACACCUAUUCCAUCUAUGGCCACAACGGGACUUGAACCCUCGACCUCAAAAAGAGAGAGCACCACCUGAUACCACUGAGCUACAAGCCCUUUGGUAGCUUAACCAUAGUAAAAAUGGGGAAAUCGAUUAAAUUAACCAUGAUAUUAUUGUAAUAAUAACAAUUUUUUUUUUCAAAAUGAUAG